GACGAACGCUGGCGGCGUGCUUAACACAUGCAAGUCGAACGGAAAGGCCCUGCUUUUGUGGGGUGCUCGAGUGGCGAACGGGUGAGUAACACGUGAGUAACCUGCCCUUGACUUUGGGAUAACUUCAGGAAACUGGGGCUAAUACCGGAUCGGAGCUCCUGUUGCAUGGUGGGCGUUGGAAAGUUUCGGCGGUUGGGGAUGGACUCGCGGCUUAUCAGCUUGUUGGUGGGGGAGUGGCUUACCAAGGCUUUGACGGGUAGCCGGCCUGAGAGGGGGACCGGCCACAUGGGGACUGCGAUAGGGCCCAGACUCCUACGGGGGGCAGAGGUGGGGAAUAUUGCACAAUGGGCGGAAGCCUGAGGCAGCAACGCCGCGGGCGGGAUGACGGCCUGCGGGUUGUAAACCGCUUUCGCCUGUGACGAAGCGUGAGUGACGGUAAUGGGUAAAGAAGCACCGGCUAACUACGUG
rnacentral:rRNA from 1 species